AAACUGCAAAGACCCAGCUGAGUGACAAGGGAGGGGCCAUGUGGGCUACUGCUGGAAGCCGGGGAUCACUCCUUGGCAAUGGGGCAGGGGCAUCAGAUUCGGUUUCCAUCUCUUCCCUGCAUGGGAAGUUCCCAUGCCUGCCUGGCCUGGGGCAGUGCGGGGGAGUGACGCCAGCGCCAGCAGGCGACAAGGAAGCAGCCUGGCCUGCUAUGGCUGGAAGUGGACACUGAGCAGUGCAGAUUAUGUCACCAGCUGCAAGGAGCAGCAGAAAGCUCCCAGCAGUGCUGCCCACCGGAGAGCGGGUGACACCGAGCCCGAGCCAAACCCGGGGGAUUUCAUGUGCAUGUAGAGUGGGUCAGAAAUACCCAGGCCUCAGCCAUCACUGCCCGAGGCCCUUUUCAGCUCCCCAGCGCGUGAGGCGGGAGGGGGCUGCCUUUACCAGCCUGAUGCUGAUUGGGCGUGAAGGGCCAAAGAGUUGGGAGGGGGAAGAUUGGGGCACACCUGCCCCUCGGUGAUUCCCCACCCCCGCAAUGCCCCGGGGGGCCCUAGAGGGGAUGGUGUUCGAGGGCUGCACCGUGCAGCUGUGUCGUUUCCCAUCGAUAUGGAGUCUCAUGACUGGGGUCAGCCUGAGCAGGCUCUGGAGUUGAGUAAACCUCGAACUGGACAGCGAGUGGCCAUCUACCCAGCAGCUGCCCCAGUCUGCCUUGUUGCUUGCUUGGAGCGGGUUGUCCCACUGACUUCCCAUUUCAUACCCUAGACCUGCUCCGAACGCUCAGGAGCCAGGUGUCCUUCUCCCCUACCUGCAAUUCGUGCUUCGUCGGCUGUCUUUCACGCGCCCAGCGGGCGCCAGACCACGAAACUGCUCCAUGGCACAGACGGGUGGUUUGCUCCCAGCGACCUGGAACAACUGGCCUCUUUUCCAGUCAGGGAUCUCCGGCAAUUCACGCCAGCCAAUGCCACCAAAGCUCAAAAUAAUUAUAAGCCCAUCGCUAGUGAUCUGCUGCUUCUCCACCUUUCCUGAGCUGCUGGGUUGAUACCACUUCUAGGUUCACUUGCUCCUGCCUCUAGAAGUAGCCCCAUGUUCCGCCAUACCUGUUCCAACAGCUCAUGGAAAUCCUUUUUAUAUGAUUACAUUGCAUAUGGUGCUGACCUUGCAGUGACAGAAUGAUUCAAAUGGUGCAUUUGCAAAUACACAUUUCAUGGAAAGACAAAACCACCAGCGUGAGAGGAUGGGAGCUGCAGAGCAGGACAGGUUAGAAAAUAUCAUCAACAAAGAAGGCUUGUGCGUUUGGGAUCUAGACACUGGAUGGCAGAUGGGAGACCUGCUAAGCAAGCCUGUAAUUGGGCGCCCAGGAGGGGAAGAGAACGUGAGGAAGACAUGGCAGAAGACGGUGACCAUACUGAAUGCAUUGGCAUCACCUGUGAAGAAGCAUCGCAACUAGCGAGCAACCGUAAUCAGUGGAGGAACUGGACUGCCCAAUGUGUCGGGGCUCAGGAGCAGCUAAGGUCUCUUGCAUCUCACAAUCAAUGUGAAAAGCAGUUUUCUGAAAGCAGUCCAGAGACAUCAUUGGUUGGUCUGCCAAAGGGCGUUUGGUUUUAUGGUGCUUUUGCCUUCUUGGUUUAGUGAGGUCCUCUGCGUGGUUUAAAGACUUAGGUGGAGCGGCACAGAAGUGGAUUGGCGUCUGUUGCCUCAUUCCGAUCUGUAGGGAUCCACAGAGUACUGUUCCUUUGAGUCGGGCUGGUGAAUUACACUAGCGUUUGUAGGGUGUACCUGAGUUGAGUACUGUACUCUUAUCAUUGAUUCGUCAAAGUGAGAUUGGGUCAUAAGUGCCUGGGAAAAGGCAGGCCGGUGCGGAGCGCCCUCCAGCAACACAGUAGGUGAGCCUGCCUCAGUUUCCCCUUGGGGCAGCCAGAAAACGGACACAUUCUCAGUAUCCACUUCAGAAGCCUGCCUCUAGGCAUGACUUGUACCUGUACAUGUUCAACGGGCCGCAGAAGCCUCCUGAUAAAGCCAGUCUCUUGAAACCCAGCGUAUGACAGGUUCCAGCCCUUUUCCAGGCCUCCAGACAUUUCCAGGUCGCCUUCCUGAGAGUGCACCCCCAGUCUGGUCCCGGACUCUCCCUGCCUUUGUCCCAGGGCUCCCUUCUCCAGCCCUCCAGUUCGAGAGCUCCCAGAUUUGUGUCUCUCCCAUGAUGCUUCUCCGGUUCCCCCAGGUGAGGUCUCCUGCCACAGAACUCCCCCAGCAGUCCCACACCCUGGCCUCCCUGCCUGGAGGUCCAACCCUGAUCCUCGGACCCCCGCUCCUGCAUCAGCCCUCAGCUUCUGGUUCAGAAGAGGGUUCUUCCCCUUCUUCCCAGGGGUCUCUGCACAAACUCCCCUGUACCUUGUUAGGGGUUCCCCAACACUGGCCAGUCCUCACCAGUGCCCCUCUGCUGCUCCUGAGUAUCUCAGGAUCCUCAGUAUCUCCUUUCCUCCUGAGGCCACUCACCCAGCUCCCCUACCCUUUUCUUGAUGGACCCUGUCUCUGUCUCUCUUCCAUUUAUAUGGUUCAGGUGCCAUCUCUUAAACCCACUUAGAGGCAGCUAAUCAGUGGCAGGUGCAUUGGACCCUGCUGUCUCUUAAAUAAUGAUUCUUAGUCCUGGUUUUUUGUUGAACUUAUACCAGGUGUCAUGCUGUGUGACAUCAGGUCAUUUGAUGCUGCUUUGGCUCUUGCUAUUGACUUAGAAUUUACACUCCGUUCUAAAUGACUUAUUUCAUAUCCUCGACCUAUUCCUGCAUCAUUCGUCUAUUUACAUUUUGUACGGUGACAUGCAUUCACCUCCUCUUUGGUGUUGAAGUCACUGUAUUUUUUUUGCUUCCUUUUUGCUGCCGUUAAUUAUUAAUUUUAAUAAGCAAUUUGUGGGUAUUUCUCAAAGAUACGCCUCACUUCUCUUGUUUUCAGUGGAAGUUAGGAGCCUAAACACCUUUGUGGCUCUGGGUUUGUUUCUUUGGGUGGUUGGUUAAUGUGGGAGAAAAGAACCAAAGGUGAUGUAAGAAGGAAUCACCUUCCUGGCCUGAUCUCAGACACUAAGCUAUGAAUAAUUCCAUCGUUUGAUUUUGUUGUCCCUGAACUCGUUGCGUGAGUGACAAUUCAAUCAAGCAGAGGCUGGUAUAAUAGCAGAGGAAGGUAACACAAUCCAAUGGGGAAGUUGAAGCUGGACAAAUUCAGCCAGGAAGUAAGGUGUAGGUUUUUGACAGUGAAGGUAAUUAACUAUUGAAAUUAACCAGGGGGCGUGGGGCUUUCACCAUCACUGGCAAUUUUAAAAUCCAGAUUGGCUGUUUGCCUGAAAUAUCUGCUCUUGGGGGUUAUUUUGGAGCGGUGCUCAGCAAUACCCCCUCUCCCAAAGCCCUGCGCCUGUUUCUCCCACCAGAGAUCACACUAUAAUGGAGGGCCUGCUUGGGUGAGAGAUGAGCUUGGAAGAGGAAAAGGUACAGUCCCAAGAUCACUGUACCAUCUGUCAAAGUCAGAU